rnacentral:sRNA from 1 species
AUGCACCCCUCGUAAGCUGUGGUUCCUGCGCGCCGUCCGCAUCCACCUGGCGACUGCUCGCGACGCCUUUUUAGCC